UACGAAGGGGGGCUAGCGUUGCUCGGAAUCACUGGGCGUAAAGCGCACGUAGGCGGCUUGUUAAGUCGGGGGGUGAAAUCCUGGAGCUCAACUCCAGAACUGCCCUCGAUACUGAUGAGCUCGAGUCCGGGAGAGGUGAGUGGAACUGCGAGUGUAGAGGUGAAAUUCGUAGAUAUUCGCAAGAACACCAGUGGCGAAGGCGGCUCACUGGCCCCGGUACUGACGCUGAGGUGCGAAAGCGUGGGGAGCAAACAGG
rnacentral:rRNA from 1 species